CCAGUUCAUCAUCUCUCACUACAUCUCUAAGCUUCAAGCAUUUUGCUGCUUAGCUCCAGCCCAGUACAUAUCCUACACCAUCUUGUUGCUCAGCUCUAGCUCACUACGUCCAUACGCUCUAUACCGUAAAACUUUAAGAAUCUGCGUGUGUAAAUUUUGCUCAACCUCCGGCCUUACCCUUUAACCACCCAUCUUCCAGACUUCUAGCUAAACCCUCAAUUAAUCAGGUAUGUACAUAGUUAAAUUAUUAAAAAUGCAGUUUAAAAUGC